rnacentral:ncRNA from 1 species
AAAAUUUACAACUAAAGUUUUAUCUUGGCUGCAAGAUAACGUGCCUUUUGGGGGGAUGAGGCAAUGGGUAGGGGAUGUUCAUGAAAUGUUUAUCAUAAAAAAUUUACAACUAAAGUUUUAUCUUGGCUGCAAGAUAACGUGCCUUUUGGGGGAUGAGGCAAUGGGUAGGGGAUGUUCAUGAAAUGUUUAUCAUAAAAAAUUUACAACUAAAGUUUUAUCUUGGCUUAGAAAUUAAGUUUUAAUUUAUUUAUAUAUAUAAAUUUUUGUUAAUAAAUUUUAUGGAUUUAGUAUAUAGUUUUAUUUAAGAAGUAAUUUUUUGAUUAGGUAUAAUAUUUAAUACUAACAAAAUUUGUGCCAGCAGUUGCGGUUAAACAAAUAGUGUUAUUUAAUUUUAUUAAAUUGAAAUUAAAAUUUUUAAAUAAAAAUUUGUAAAAUUUAUUAGGUGAAAUUAAAAAUUUUUAUAAAUAUUUAUUUAUUGAUUUUGAAGUUUUGAAAUUUUUAUAUAAACUAGGAUUAGAUACCCUAUUAUUUUAAAUGUAAAUUUAAAUUUUAUUAUUAAAAGCUAAAUCUUUAAAGUAAAAAAAUUUGGCGGUAUUUUAGUCUUUUCAGAGGAACCUGUUUUUUAAACGAUAAUCCACGAUUUUUUGUACUUGAAUUUUUAAUUUGUAUAUCGUCGUGUUAUAAGAUUUUUAUAGAAGAAAAAUUUUAUUAUUUUUAAUUAAAAUUUAUAUCAGAUCAAGGUGCAGUUUAUAUUUAAGUUUUAAUGGGUUACAAUAAAUUUAUUUAGACGGACAUAUUAAUUAAUAUUAAUUUUUAAGGUGGAUUUGAAAGUAAUAAUAUUUAUUUAAUAUUAUGAUUUAGCUCUAAAAUAUGCACAUAUUGCCCGUCACUUUCAAUGAUAUGAAAUAAGUCGUAACAAAGUAGUCUUACUGGAAAGUGUGUCUAGCUAGA